rnacentral:misc_RNA from 1 species
GAUGAAGAACGUAGCAAAAUGCAAUACUUGGUGUGAAUUGCAGAAUCCCGUGAACCAUCGAGUUUUUGAACGCAAGUUGCGCCCGAAGCCUUUUGGCCGAGGGCACGUCUGCCUGGGCGUCACGCAUCGCGUCGCCCCCCACAAUUCUCCGUAAAGGGAACGUGUGUUUUGGGGGCGGAUAUUGGUCUCCCGUGCUCAUGGCGUGGUUGGCCGAAAUAGGAGUCCUUUCGAUGGACGCACGAACUAGUGGUGGUCGUAAAAACCCUCGUCUUUUGUUUCGUGCUGUUGCUCGCAAGGUAAACUCUUUAAAAACCCCAAUGUGUCGUCUCUUGACGACGCUUCGACCGCGACCCCAGGUCAGGCGGGACUACCCGCUGAGUUUAAGCAUAUCAAUAAGCGGAGGA